rnacentral:rRNA from 1 species
AUUGAACGCUGGCGGCAGGCCUAACACAUGCAAGUCGAGCGGAUGAAGGGAGCUUGCUCCUGGAUUCAGCGGCGGACGGGUGAGUAAUGCCUAGGAAUCUGCCUGGUAGUGGGGGAUAACGUCCGGAAACGGGCGCUAAUACCGCAUACGUCCUGAGGGAGAAAGUGGGGGAUCUUCGGACCUCACGCUAUCAGAUGAGCCUAGGUCGGAUUAGCUAGUUGGUGGGGUAAAGGCCUACCAAGGCGACGAUCCGUAACUGGUCUGAGAGGAUGAUCAGUCACACGGGAACUGAGACACGGUCCAGACUCCUACGGGAGGCAGCAGUGGGGAAUAUUGGACGAUGGGCGAAAGCCUGAUCCAGCCAUGCCGCGUGUGUGAAGAUGGUCUUCGGAUUGUAAAGCACUUUAAGUUGGGAGGAAGGGCAGUAAGUUAAUACCUUGCUGUUUUGACGUUACCAACAGAAUAAGCACCGGCUAACUUCGUG